rnacentral:rRNA from 1 species
ACAGCAGUAGCCGCGGUAAUACGGAGGGAGCUAGCGUUGUUCGGAAUUACUGGGCGUAAAGCGCGCGUAGGCGGUUACUCAAGUCAGAGGUGAAAGCCCGGGGCUCAACCCCGGAACUGCCUUUGAAACUAGGUGACUAGAAUCUUGGAGAGGUCAGUGGAAUUCCGAGUGUAGAGGUGAAAUUCGUAGAUAUUCGGAAGAACACCAGUGGCGAAGGCGACUGACUGGACAAGUAUUGACGCUGAGGUGCGAAAGCGUGGGGAGCAAACAGGAUUAGAUACCCCUGUAGUCCCUGUCUCUUAUAC